AGAGUUUGAUCCUGGCUCAGAACGAACGCUGGCGGCAGGCUUAACACAUGCAAGUCGAACGCGCUUUUCGGAGCGAGUGGCGCACGGGUGAGUAACGCGUGGGAACCUGUCCUUGAGUGGGGAAUAACCUUGGGAAACUGAGGCUAAUACCGCAUACUCCCUUUGGUUGUAGUGGCCGAAGGGGAAAGAUUUAUCGCUCAAGGAGGGGCUCGCGUCAGAUUAGGUUGUUGGUGGGGUAAAGGCCUACCAAGCCUGCGAUCUGUAGCCGGUCUGAGAGGAUGGUCGGCCACACUGGAACUGAGACACGGUCCAGACUCCUACGGGAGGCAGCAGUGGGGAAUCUUGGACAAUGGGCGCAAGCCUGAUCCAGCCAUGCCGCGUGAGUGAAGAAGGCCUUCGGGUUGUAAAGCUCUUUCAGCGGAGACGAUGAUGACGGUAUCCGCAGAAGAAGCCCCGGCUAACUUCGUGCCAGCAGCCGCGGUAAUACGAAGGGGGCUAGCGUUGUUCGGAAUUACUGGGCGUAAAGGGCGCGUAGGUGGCGUUGCAAGCGGGUGGUGAAAUCCCUGGGCUCAACCCAGGAAUUGCCAUCCGAACUGUGGUGCUCGAGUUCGGAAGAGGGUAACGGAAUUCCCAGUGGAGAGGUGGAAUUCGUAGAGAUUGGGAAGAACACCAGAAGCGAAGGCGGUUAUCUGGUCCGAAACUGACACUGAUGCGCGAAAGCGUGGGUAGCAAACAGGAUUAGAUACCCUGGUAGUCCACGCCCUAAACGAUGUCCGCUAGCUAUUGGGCGCAGGCCCAGUGGCGAAGCUAACGCGUUAAGCGGACCGCCUGGGGAGUACGGU
rnacentral:rRNA from 1 species